rnacentral:tRNA from 1 species
GGAGGCGUCCGAGCGCCUGGUGGGCUCCCCGGUCUUCAAAACCGGUGGCGGGCCUGAUCGGUCCGCAGGGUUCGAUUCCUUGCGCCUCCGC